rnacentral:misc_RNA from 1 species
UUAUCAGUCAUAAUCAUAAACUUAUAAAAUAAAAAUCAUGGGUUGAAUGAGGGUAUAAAGAAAAGAAGGAAAGACUGCAUCAGGAAAACUUACACUGCAUUAGAAUGUCUAGUUCACAUACCAAUUAUAUAAUAAAAGCUGUGUUUCCCAACCUCCACUAGAGGACAAAAUCCAUAGAAUUUCUCCUAAAAUUUUGGUUAAAAAGAAGACAAAAGUUAAAAAUAAGCAAAAUAAAAUAAUUACCGA